GUCCGGGCCCUGCGCUGCUGGAAUUGUGCUCCUGGCCGCGGCUCCUGAAGGCAGCAGGUGCAGCCCCCUCCGCGUGGAGCUGCGACCUGAGCUGCUUCUGAGGCCCCACCAGGUGUGCGCUCCAGCCCUUUACCGCGCUUGCCCG